UAAUACGGAGGGUGCAAGCGUUAAUCGGAAUUACUGGGCGUAAAGCGCACGCAGGCGGUUUGUUAAGUCAGAUGUGAAAUCCCCGGGCUCAACCUGGGAACUGCAUUUGAAACUGGCAAGCUAGAGUCUCGUAGAGGGGGGUAGAAUUCCAGGUGUAGCGGUGAAAUGCGUAGAGAUCUGGAGGAAUACCGGUGACGAAGGCGGCCCCCUGGACGAAGACUGACGCUCAGGUGCGAAAGCGUGGGGAGCAAACAGGAUUAGAUACCCUGGUAGUCCACGCUGUAAACGAUGUCGAUUUGGAGGUUGUGCCCUUGAGGCGUGGCUUCCGGAGCUAACGCGUUAAAUCGACCGCCUGGGGAGUACGGCCGCAAGGUUA
rnacentral:rRNA from 1 species